rnacentral:rRNA from 1 species
GGAGUGAGCGGCGGACGGGUUAGUAACGCGUGGGAACGUACCCAGAUCUAAGGAAUAGCCACUGGAAACGGUGAGUAAUACCUUAUACGCCCUUCGGGGGAAAGAUUUAUCGGUGACGGAUUAGCCCGCGUUAGAUUAGAUAGUUGGUGGGGUAAUGGCCUACCAAGUCUACGAUCUAUAGCUGGUUUUAGAGGAUGAUCAGCAACACUGGGACUGAGACACGGCCCAGACUCCUACGGGAGGCAGCAGUGGGGAAUCUUGGACAAUGGGCGCAAGCCUGAUCCAGCCAUGCCGCGUGAGUGAUGAAGGCCUUAGGGUCGUAAAGCUCUUUCGCCAGAGAUGAUAAUGACAGUAUCUGGUAAAGAAACCCCGGCUAACUCCGUGCCAGCAGCCGCGGUAAUACGGAGGGGGUUAGCGUUGUUCGGAAUUACUGGGCGUAAAGCGCGCGUAGGCGGAUUAGUCAGUUAGAGGUGAAAUCCCGGGGCUCAACCCCGGAACUGCCUUUAAUACUGCUAGUCUUGAGUUCGAGAGAGGUGAGUGGAAUUCCGAGUGUAGAGGUGAAAUUCGUAGAUAUUCGGAGGAACACCAGUGGCGAAGGCGGCUCACUGGCUCGAUACUGACGCUGAGGUGCGAAAGUGUGGGGAGCAAACAGGAUUAGAUACCCUGGUAGUCCACACCGUAAACGAUGAAU